AGAACGAACGCUGGCGGCAUGCCUAAUACAUGCAAGUCGAACGAACACUCUGACUUCGGUUGGGGGUGUUAGUGGCGCACGAGUGCGUAACGCGUGGGAAUCUGCCCUUGGGUUCGGAAUAACAGUUGGAAACGACUGCUAAUACCGGAUGAUAUCGAAAGAUCAAAGAUUUAUCGCCCAGGGAUGAGCCCGCGUAGGAUUAGCUAGUUGGUGGGGUAAAGGCUCACCAAGGCGACGAUCCUUAGCUGGUCUGAGAGGAUGAUCAGCCACACGUGGGACUGAGACACGGCCCAGACCUCCGUACGGGAGGCAGCAGGUAAGGGAAUAGUUGGACAAGUGGGCGCAAGCCUGAUCCAGCAGCGCCGCGUGAGUGAUGAACGGUCGUUAAGGGUUGUAAACGUCUUCCGUUUUACCCGAGUAUGAAUAAUGACUAGUAGUAGGGAAGUAAGUAACGCCCCGGACGUUAACC
rnacentral:rRNA from 1 species